UACGGAGGGUGCGAGCGUUGUCCGGAAUCAUUGGGCGUAAAGGGCGCGUAGGUGGCCCGGUCAGUUCGUGGUGAAAGCGCGGGGCUCAACCCUGCGUCGGCCAUGAAUACUGCCGCGGCUGGAGCACUGUAGAGGCAGGCGGAAUUCCUGGUGUAGCGGUGGAAUGCGCAGAUAUCAGGAGGAACACCGGUGGCGAAGGCGGGUCUCUGGGCCGAUACUGACGCUGAGGAGCGAAAGCAUGGGUAGCGAACAGG
rnacentral:rRNA from 1 species